UGAGGAAUAUUGGUCAAUGGACGGAAGUCUGAACCAGCCAUCCCGCGUGCAGGAAGACGGCCCUACGGGUUGUAAACUGCUUUUCUGUUGGAAGAACGGUACUAACGUGUUAGUGCGUGACGGUACAACAGGAAUAAGCAUCGGCUAACUCCGUGCCAGCAGCCGCGGUAAUACGGAGGAUGCAAGCGUUAUCCGGAUUUAUUGGGUUUAAAGGGUGCGUAGGCGGUUUUAUAAGUCAGUGGUGAAAUACUGGAGCUUAACUUUAGCAUUGCCAUUGAAACUGUAAGACUUGAGUUUGGUUGAGGUAUGCGGAAUGUGUAGUGUAGCGGUGAAAUGCAUAGAUAUUACACAGAACACCGAUUGCGAAGGCAGCAUACUAAGCCAAUACAGACGCUGAGGCACGAAAGCGUGGGGAUCGAACA
rnacentral:rRNA from 1 species